UAGGGAAUCUUCGGCAAUGGACGAAAGUCUGACCGAGCAACGCCGCGUGAGUGAAGAAGGUUUUCGGAUCGUAAAACUCUGUUGUUAGAGAAGAACAAGGACGUUAGUAACUGAACGUCCCCUGACGGUAUCUAACCAGAAAGCCACGGCUAACUACGUGCCAGCAGCCGCGGUAAUACGUAGGUGGCAAGCGUUGUCCGGAUUUAUUGGGCGUAAAGCGAGCGCAGGCGGUUUCUUAAGUCUGAUGUGAAAGCCCCCGGCUCAACCGGGGAGGGUCAUUGGAAACUGGGAGACGUGAGUGCAGAAGAGGAGAGUGGAAUUCCAUGUGUGGCGUUGAAAUGCGUAGAUAUAUGGAGGAACACCAGUGGCGAAGGCGGCUCGCUGGUCUGUAACUGACGCUGAGGCUCGAAAGCGUGGGGAGCAAACAGG
rnacentral:rRNA from 1 species